rnacentral:rRNA from 1 species
UGCGUAGGUGGCAGUGCAAGUCAGAUGUGAAAGGCCGGGGCUCAACCCCGGAGCUGCAUUUGAAACUGCAUAGCUAGAGUACAGGAGAGGCAGGCGGAAUUCCUAGUGUAGCGGUGAAAUGCGUAGAUAUUAGGAGGAACACCAGUGGCGAAGGCGGGUCUCUGGGCAGUAACUGACGCUGAGGAGCGAAAGCGUGGGGAGCGAACA